rnacentral:rRNA from 1 species
AAAUGAAUAGACGGGGGCCCGCACAAGCAGUGGAGUAUGUGGUUUAAUUCGAAGCAACGCGAAGAACCUUACCAGGUCUUGACAUCGUGCGCAUAACUCAGAGAUGAGUGAAGUCCUUCGGGACGCAUAGACAGGUGGUGCAUGGUUGUCGUCAGCUCGUGUCGUGAGAUGUUGGGUUAAGUCCCGCAACGAGCGCAACCCUUAUGCUUAGUUACUACGCAAGAGGACUCUAGGCAGACUGCCGUUGACAAAACGGAGGAAGGUGGGGAUGACGUCAAAUCAUCAUGCCCCUUAUGACCUGGGCUACACACGUACUACAAUGGCUGUUAACAAAGUGAACCGAAACCGCGAGGUGGAGGAAACCACAAAAAACAGUCUCAGUUCGGAUUGUAGGCUGCAACUCGCCUACAUGAAGCCGGAAUUGCUAGUAAUCGCGGAUCAGCAUGCCGCGGUGAAUACGUUCCCGGGCCUUGUACACACCGCCCGU